rnacentral:rRNA from 1 species
GAUGAACGCUGGCGGCGUGCCUAAUACAUGCAAGUCGAGCGCAGCGGGGACGGGUGAGUAACACGUGGAUAACCUCCUAUAAGACUGGGAUAACUUCGGGAAACCGGAGCUAAACCGGAUACUUAUCGAUGGAUCCACGCUGCAUUAGCUAGUUGGUGAGGUAACGGCUUACCAAGGCAACGAUGCAUAGCCGACCUGAGAGGGUGAUCGGCCACACUGGAACUGAGACACGGGCCAGACUCCUACGGGAGUCAGCAGUAGGGAAUCUUCCGCAAUGGGCGACAGCCCGACGGAGCAACGCCGCGUGAGUGAUGACGGUCUUCGGAUCGUAAACCUCUGUUAUUGGGGAAGCGGUACCUAAUCAGAAAGCCACGGCUAACUACGUGCUAGCAGCCGCGGUAAUUC